rnacentral:rRNA from 1 species
CCUACGGGAGGCAGCAGUGAGGAAUAUUGGUCAAUGGCCGAGAGGCUGAACCAGCCAAGCCGCGUGAGGGAAGAAUGUCCUAAGGAUUGUAAACCUCUUUUGUCAGGGAGCAAAGUCACCCACGUGUGGGCGUUGGAGAGUACCUGAAGAAAAAGCAUCGGCUAACUCCGUGCCAGCAGCCGCGGUAAUACGGAGGAUGCGAGCGUUAUCCGGAUUUAUUGGGUUUAAAGGGUGCGUAGGCGGGUUAUUAAGUCAGCGGUAAAAGCGUGGGGCUCAACCCCAUCCAGCCGUUGAAACUGAUUGUCUUGAGUUGGCGAGAAGUAUGCGGAAUGCGUGGUGUAGCGGUGAAAUGCAUAGAUAUCACGCAGAACUCCGAUUGCGAAGGCAGCAUACCGGCGCCCGACUGACGCUGAGGCACGAAAGCGUGGGUAUCGAACAGGAUUAGAUACCCCAGUAGUC